rnacentral:rRNA from 1 species
GAUGAACGCUGGCGGCGUGCCUAAUACAUGCAAGUCGAGCGAACAGACGAGGAGCUUGCUCCUCUGACGUUAGCGGCGGACGGGUGAGUAACACGUGGAUAACCUACCUAUAAGACUGGGAUAACUUCGGGAAACCGGAGCUAAUACCGGAUAACAUGUUGAACCGCAUGGUUCAACAGUGAAAGACGGUCUUGCUGUCACUUAUAGAUGGAUCCGCGCCGCAUUAGCUAGUUGGUAAGGUAACGGCUUACCAAGGCAACGAUGCGUAGCCGACCUGAGAGGGUGAUCGGCCACACUGGAACUGAGACACGGUCCAGACUCCUACGGGAGGCAGCAGUAGGGAAUCUUCCGCAAUGGGCGAAAGCCUGACGGAGCAACGCCGCGUGAGUGAUGAAGGUCCUCGGAUCGUAAAACUCUGUUAUUAGGGAAGAACAAAUGUGUAAGUAACUAUGCACGUCUUGACGGUACCUAAUCAGAAAGCCACGGCUAACUACGUG